rnacentral:rRNA from 1 species
UGCAGUCGAACGGCAGCACAGGAGAGCUUGCUCUCUGGGUGGCGAGUGGCGGACGGGUGAGGAAUACAUCGGAAUCUACUCUGUCGUGGGGGAUAACGUAGGGAAACUUACGCUAAUACCGCAUACGACCUACGGGUGAAAGCAGGGGAUCUUCGGGCCUUGCGCGAUUGAAUGAGCCGAUGUCGGAUUAGCUAGUUGGCGGGGUAAAGGCCCACCAAGGCGACGAUCCGUAGCUGGUCUGAGAGGAUGAUCAGCCACACUGGAACUGAGACACGGUCCAGACUCCUACGGGAGGCAGCAGUGGGGAAUAUUGGACAAUGGGCGCAAGCCUGAUCCAGCCAUACCGCGUGGGUGAAGAAGGCCUUCGGGUUGUAAAGCCCUUUUGUUGGGAAAGAAAUCCAGCUGGCUAAUACCCGGUUGGGAUGACGGUACCCAAAGAAUAAGCACCGGCUAACUUCGUGCCAGCAGCCGCGGUAAUACGAAGGGUGCAAGCGUUACUCGGAAUUACUGGGCGUAAAGCGUGCGUAGGUGGUCGUUUAAGUCCGUUGUGAAAGCCCUGGGCUCAACCUGGGAACUGCAGUGGAUACUGGGCGACUAGAGUGUGGUAGAGGGUAGCGGAAUUCCUGGUGUAGCAGUGAAAUGCGUAGAGAUCAGGAGGAACAUCCAUGGCGAANGCAGCUACCUGGACCAACACUGACACUGAGGCACGAAAGCGUGNGGAGCAAACAGGAUUAGAUACCCUGGUAGUCCACGCCCUAAACGAUGCGAACUGGAUGUUGGGUGCAAUUUGGCACGCAGUAUCGAAGCUAACGCGUUAAGUUCGCCGCCUGGGGAGUACGGUCGCAAGACUGAAACUCAAAGGAAUUGACGGGGGCCCGCACAAGCGGUGGAGUAUGUGGUUUAAUUCGAUGCAACGCNAANAACCUUACCUGGGCCUNGACAUGUCGAGAACUUUCCANANAUGGAUCGGUGC